AUGACGUCCCCUGUCCCUGCUCUCGCUGUAACCCUGACCAAACAUAAAACUCUCAGCUCCUCGCCCAUCCCCAGGCAGAGCUCCAUGCACCCCAGGGGCUCGCUGGCACAGAGGGUGACGCCUGCUCCUUGUGUCCCCUGCCUGCCCUUCCUAACGAGCCUGUUUUCUCCCAUCCCAGCACCCCAGUCACGGGAGCCACCCCAGCAUGUCCCCAUGAGGACAUACAUCUCCAAUACAUUUAGUUAUUCCCCAUGUAGCAUCGGCAUCUCUCUCUUUCUGUCCAGCCUCCAUGCUGUUUGCCAGCCUGCUGCUGUCCUUGCACGGCUCUCCUUUCUUCAAGGAAGCUGCUUCUACUCCAUAAAGCUUGAUGCCUGGCCCCCUUUCCCCCGGCAGGGCCAACCACCCUUCCCUCGGUGUUGUCGCUGCGGCUCCAAGCCACAUGCUCCAUCUGUGUCGGAGACACGGUGCCUAUUGCUGCCUGCGGGCGCGUCCCAGCACACACAAGGUUGUUUUAACUUUACCCUUCUGCCUUCUGUUCACCGUCUUCCAGAUCUGCCCUUUCCGAUUUGCUCCACGCUGCUGUCUCCAGGGUCUCUCCAGCUCCAAUCUGGCCUCAUACACAGGCCGUUCCCACUCCGAGGUAGCUCCAGUCUGUCCUUACUGGGGCUGGGGAAAGCUGUCACGGUGGCAGUGGUAUUCAUCUGGAUAAGCUGGGCGUUCACUGAAGCCCCCUCGCCAGUCCGAUCUGUAAUGGGCUUAGGUCACCGUCAUUUCUACCCAGGAACCAUGCGCUGGGGCAGCUUGAAUGUAUUUCCUUUAGCAGUCACCCUGCUGAAAGAGCAGAUCCCACACGGGGUGCAGACUCGCUGCCCAGCACAAAUCAGGGCCGCAAAGCCCAGCCCCUCACGCCCUGGCACCACCGUGGUGCUCCCGGCUGCACCUCGGGUGAGCGAAUCCUGUCCGUUUGCAAGAUUUCCUCUCCCACCGGGCCCACGGAGCCACGCUGAUUCUUUAACGACAGCUGAGAUUUGUGAGUAUUGA
rnacentral:lncRNA from 1 species